GUUUAUGUAAUGACUUGUGUUAGACUGCAUGGCACAGAACAUCGGGUUCGGAGUUGGACUUUGACCAUUGUGGAUGAGCUAACACCCACUGGGAGACCUCGUGCGAUCCAUCGGAAAGGACAUCCCCAGGUGGCCCCGUUCACCCUACUUUCAGAGAGGCUGCUAGGACGAUGGAAGAAUUCACAUGUAAAUAGGCCACUCGCUCGCUAAGACAGGAAAAAGAUGAAUCCUGAUAUGACAACCCUGCAUAAUGAGCAGCAGAGGAGUAUGCAUUAUUGCUACUUCCCUUGAGUACAGUGUACACAGCUUGAAAAUGUAUACAGUUAAGAGA
rnacentral:lncRNA from 1 species